rnacentral:rRNA from 1 species
AAUUUUGGGCAAUGGGGGAAACCCUGACCCAGCGACGCCGCGUGGAGGAUGAAGGCCUUCGGGUUGUAAACUCCUGUCAGGUGGGAAGAAGAGUUCUACGGAUAAUACCCGUAGGAAAUUGACGGUACCACCAAAGGAAGCCCCGGCUAACUCCGUGCCAGCAGCCGCGGUAAUACGGAGGGGGCAAGCGUUAUUCGGAUUUACUGGGCGUAAAGCGCACGUAGGCGGCAGUGUAAGUCACAGGUGAAAUCCCUCGGCUCAACCGAGGAACUGCCUGCGAAACUGCAUUGCUUGAGUCCGGGAGGGGGGAGCGGAAUUCCCAGUGUAGUGGUGAAAUGCGUAGAUACUGGGAGGAACACCGGUGGCGAAGGCGGCUCCCUGGACCGGUACUGACGCUGAGGUGCGAAAGCGUGGGUAGCAAACAGGAUUAGAUACCCUGGUAGUCCACGCCGUA